GAUGAACGCUGGCGGCGUGCCUAAUACAUGCAAGUCGAGCGAACGGACGAGAAGUUUGCUUCUCUGAUGUUUGCCGCGGACGUGUGUGUAACAUGUGGAACACCUACCUAUAAGACUGAGAUAUCUUCGGGACACCGGCGCUAAUCCCGGAUAAUAUUUUGCACCGCAUGGUUCGUAAGUGAAAGACGGCCUUGCUGUCACUUCUCGAUGGUUCCGCGCUGCAUGAGCUAGUUGGUACGGUAACGGCUUAUCAAGGCUACGAGGCAUAGCCGACCUGAGAGGGGGAUCGGCCACACUGGAACGGAGACAGGGACCAGGCUCCUACGGGAGGCAGCAGAAGGGAAUCUGCGGCAAUGGGCGAAAGCCUGACGGAGCAACGCCGCGUGAGUGAUGAAGAUCUUCGGAUCGUAAAGCUCUGUUAUUGGGGAAAAACAGAUUUGGAAGGAAAUGUGCACAGCGUGACGGUACCUAAUCAGAAAGCCACGGCUAACUACGUG
rnacentral:rRNA from 1 species